GACGAACGCUGGCGGCGUGCUUAACACAUGCAAGUCGAGCGAGGCCCCUUCCUUCGGGAAGGGAGCCCUAGCGGCGAACGGGUGAGUAACACGUGGGCAAUCUGCCCCUAGCACUGGGAUAACUCCGGGAAACCGGGGCUAAUACCGGAUAUGACCUUUGACGGCAUCGUCUGAAGGUGGAAAGGAUUCCGGCUAGGGAUGAGCCCGCGGCCUAUCAGCUUGUUGGUGGGGUAAUGGCCCACCAAGGCGACGACGGUAGCCGGCCUGAGAGGGCGACCGGCCACACUGGGACUGAGACACGGCCCAGACUCCUACGGGAGGCAGCAGUGGGGAAUAUUGCACAAUGGGCGAAAGCCUGAUGCAGCGACGCCGCGUGAGGGAUGACUGCCUUCGGGUUGUAAACCUCUUUC
rnacentral:rRNA from 1 species